rnacentral:rRNA from 1 species
GACGAUCAGUAGCUGGUCUGAGAGGAUGACCAGCCACACUGGGACUGAGACACGGCCCAGACUCCUACGGGAGGCAGCAGUGGGGAAUAUUGGACAAUGGGCGCAAGCCUGAUCCAGCCAUGCCGCGUGAGUGACGAAGGUCUUCGGAUUGUAAAGCUCUUUUGCCAGGGACGAUAAUGACGGUACCUGGAGAAUAAGCCCCGGCUAACUUCGUGCCAGCAGCCGCGGUAAUACGAAGGGGGCUAGCGUUGUUCGGAAUUACUGGGCGUAAAGCGCACGUAGGCGGAUUUGUUAGUCAGGGGUGAAAUCCCGGGGCUCAACCUCGGAACUGCCUUUGAUACUGCAAGUCUCGAGUCCGGAAGAGGUGAGUGGAAUUCCUAGUGUAGAGGUGAAAUUCGUAGAUAUUAGGAAGAACACCAGUGGCGAAGGCGGCUCACUGGUCCGGUACUGACGCUGAGGUGCGAAAGCGUGGGAGCAAACAGG